ACGCUAGCUACAGGCUUAACACAUGCAAGUCGAGGGGAAACGGCAUUGAGUGCUUGCACUCUUUGGACGUCGACCGGCGCACGGGUGAGUAACGCGUAUCCAACCUUCCCAUUACUGUGGGAUAACCUGCCGAAAGGCAGACUAAUACCGCAUAGUCUUCGAUGACGGCAUCAGAUUUGAAGUAAAGAUUUAUCGGUAGUGGAUGGGGAUGCGUCUGAUUAGCUUGUUGGCGGGGUAACGGCCCACCAAGGCAACGAUCAGUAGGGGUUCUGAGAGGAAGGUCCCCCACAUUGGAACUGAGACACGGUCCAAACUCCUACGGGAGGCAGCAGUGAGGAAUAUUGGUCAAUGGACGGAAGUCUGAACCAGCCAAGUAGCGUGCAGGAUGACGGCCCUAUGGGUUGUAAACUGCUUUUGUAUGGGGAUAAAGUUAGGGACGUGUCCCUAUUUGCAGGUACCAUACGAAUAAGGACCGGCUAAUUCCGUGCCAGCAGCCGCGGUAAUACGGAAGGUCCAGGCGUUAUCCGGAUUUAUUGGGUUUAAAGGGAGCGUAGGCUGGAGAUUAAGUGUGUUGUGAAAUGUAGACGCUCAACGUCUGAAUUGCAGCGCAUACUGGUUUCCUUGAGUACGCACAACGUUGGCGGAAUUCGUCGUGUAGCGGUGAAAUGCUUAGAUAUGACGAAGAACUCCGAUUGCGAAGGCAGCUGACGGGAGCGCAACUGACGCUUAAGCUCGAAGGUGCGGGUAUCAAACAGGAUUAGAUACCCUGGUAGUCCGCACAGUAAACGAUGGAUGCCCGCUGUUGGUACCUGGUAUCAGCGGCUAAGCGAAAGCAUUAAGCAUCCCACCUGGGGAGUACGCCGGCAACGGUGAAACUCAAAGGAAUUGACGGGGGCCCGCACAAGCGGAGGAACAUGUGG
rnacentral:rRNA from 1 species